rnacentral:rRNA from 1 species
GCCUGCCCAGUGACCAAGUUAAACGGCCGCGGUACCCUAACCGUGCGAAGGUAGCGCAAUCACUUGUUCCUUAAAUAGGGACUAGUAUGAAUGGCAUCACGAGGGCUAUACUGUCUCCCCUCUCUAAUCAGUGAAACUGAUCUCCCCGUGAAGAAGCGGGGAUUUCCCUAUAAGACGAGAAGACCCCAUGGAGCUUCAAACUCAGCACCAACUGUUAACAACAUCCACCACACUAACCUAACAGACCUGGCAGCUAGUUUUCGGUUGGGGUGACCGCGGAGCAAAACAAAACCUCCACGACGAAAUGACCUAACCCCCUAAUCCAAGAGCUACAACUCUAAGAAUCAACAAAUUGACGUUUAUUGAUCCAAUAAUUUUGACCAACGAACCAAGUUACCCUGGGGAUAACAGCGCAAUCCACUUCAAGAGCCCCUAUCGACAAGUGGGUUUACGACCUCGAUGUUGGAUCAGGGUAUCCCAGUGGUGCAGCCGCUACUAAAGGUUCGUUUGUUCAACGAUUAAAACCCUACGUGAUCUGAG